CGGCUAACUGUCAGUGACGAAAAAAGAUUGAAACAAGAACCGAGGCAAACAACAACCGUCGUUCCGGAGGUUCGAAAACGAUAGUGCUUGUUCCGUUGUAUCGGUUGUUCCACAACAGGUGGUACGUAAUUGUUAGUAUACGCAUAUAUUGUGCGGGUAGAGGUCCCGUUCCCUCCGGAUCCGAACAUUUGGGCAUAUCGACCCGAAACCGCCGUAGAGAUUCGAUUCACAAGCAGUCUCCGAAGGCCGCCAUCCGGCACUACUGGUUCCAGCCAAAAAUUGAAAGCUUGCGGUCAGUUUGGUUGGCAGGGCAUGCUGGUAAUGAAUAAAAAGUCCUCCUGCAGUAAAAGGAAAUUUCCCGCUGCUUGUCAUAAAAUACAGACAGUGGAUCAAUAGGAUCUGUCUCCGCUUGAGCCGCAAACUGAAAGUGAUGGACACUACCGACUACGAGAAUGCUAUCGAAUCUGGCAGACCAACAAGGGAAUGGCCAGAAUCAGCAAGUGAAUCUUAACAAAAUGAGUUCAUCGCGAUCUAGCCUCUUGGAAUGUGCUUCUUGCAGGAGGGCAAACUUUACAAGCUAUCCGACUUUGGGCUUACACGAGACGUGUACGAGGACGAUGCCUACGAGAAUAAGAGCGGAGAUCGUGUUCUGGUCAAGUGGAUGGCACUAGAAUCGCUGGCGGAUCUGUGUUACAAAAAGCGAUGUUUGGAUAUUUGUGUGAUAGGAAUUAAUCAACUUAAGCGCUUCGUCCUGUUCUGAUAUCCACUCACUCCACCACAAAAUUUAUUCUGAUUAAACAACCAUCGAUGGAAACUACUGCAUCCGCUGAUAAUGGUGCACCUAAGGCAAACACCAGCGGUAGCGGCUCGUCAUCAUCGGCAAUAGGUCUUGAAUAUGAAGCAAGUUCAACCAGGGGGAAAUAACAAUAAUAACAAAAACAAUAAAUUUCGAAUAAAUAAAGAAAAAUC